rnacentral:lncRNA from 1 species
UGAAGAAAAGUUCUGGAAUUGGAUAGUAGUGAUGACUGUACUACAAGGUGAAGGUGCUUAAUAUCCCUGACUGUACACUUAAAAAUUGUUAAAAUGGAAGCCCAUGCUGACCCACUGGAUGAAACUGGAUGUCUGUGCUCUAUGCUUUCACACGAGCAUGCUUCACCACCUCAGCUAUAGUACUGACCACAUGGUGUUGCAGGGGUUCUCAACUUCUGCACAACUGGCAAUAUCAGCACAGGGAGAUCUCCAGGCUCUCUUUGGAUUUCCCUCCCUGUGUUGACCCUGGAAACUUUCUCCAAGCAGAGAAGAAAAAGAGCAUGGACGCUCAUUCAUGGGGCAUUUACAUGACUCAGGUCAAGCAAUGGCGUGUGUCACUCCUGCUCAUAGUCUGUCCUGUGAGCACACCUGGACGGUGCAGGAGGCUGGAGCAGGACAUCCAAGUCUGUGUCCAGAAUGAAGAGACCACUGACUUGGUGAGAAGCCAGCCAGUCUAUGCUAAAGGGAAACUGAGGCCAUAAAAAAACAGUAAAUGUACAAAAUAGUUUGAGUUUAAUGAUGACUUCCAUGAAGAAAAUAAACAAUGUCUGUG